UCCUCCUUAGCUCAGAGGUAGAGCGCUUCACUUGUAUUAUAAAGGAUAAAUCAUGGAUGUACAUCGAUGAAGAGGCCAGUCGUUCAAAUCGGCUAGGGGGAA